GCUUGCUUCGAGUGGAUCAGUGGCGAACGGGUGAGUAACACGUGAGCAACCUGCCCCAGACUCUGGAAUAAGCGCUGGAAACGGCGUCUAAUACUGGAUAUGUGACGGACCUGCAUGGGUACCGUCUGGAAAGUUUUUCGGUUUGGGAUGGGCUCGCGGCCUAUCAGCUUGUUGGUGAGGUAAUGGCUCACCAAGGCGACGACGGGUAGCCGGCCUGAGAGGGCGACCGGCCACACUGGGACUGAGACACGGCCCAGACUCCUACGGGAGGCAGCAGUGGGGAAUAUUGCACAAUGGGCGAAAGCCUGAUGCAGCGACGCCGCGUGAGGGAUGACGGCCUUCGGGUUGUAAACCUCUUUCAGCAGGGAAGAAGCGAAAGUGACGGUACCUGCAGAAGAAGCACCGGCUAACUACGUGCCAGCAGCCGCGGUAAUACGUAGGGUGCGAGCGUUGUCCGGAAUUAUUGGGCGUAAAGAGCUUGUAGGCGGUUUGUCGCGUCUGCUGUGAAAAUCCGGGGCUCAACCCCGGACUUGCAGUGGGUACGGGCAGACUAGAGUGUGGUAGGGGAGACUGGAAUUCCUGGUGUAGCGGUGAAAUGCGCAGAUAUCAGGAGGAACACCGAUGGCGAAGGCAGGUCUCUGGGCCACUACUGACGCUGAGAAGCGAAAGCAUGGGGAGCGAACAGGAUUAGAUACCCUGGUAGUCCAUGCCGUAAACGUUGGGCGCUAGGUGUGGGACUC
rnacentral:rRNA from 1 species